AAGAGGGUCAUAUUUCUCCCGCCGUUUACCCGCGCUUGGAUGAAUUUCGUCACUUUGACAUUCAGAGCCCUGGGCAGAAAUCACAUUGCGUCAUCACCUGUCAUCGGCUAUCGCAAUGCUUUGUUUUAAUUAGAUAGUCGAAUUCCCUUAGUCCGUGCCAGUUCUGAGUCGGCUGUUAGUUGCCCGCCGAAACCGUCGGUCCGCACGAAAGCACGGUCUGCGGCAAAGCAGAGACAUUCCACGGGAAGGCCCCGACGCUGGUCCGGGACGAACCGGACUGAGUCGUCCCAGCCAGUCUCCCCAGUCCCGGUGCAGUGCCACACCCGCUUCGGAUCCCAGCCCGACGGGCCCAGUCCUCAGAGCCAAUCCUUGACCCGAAGUUACGGAUCGAACUUCCCUUAUCUACAUUGUUCUAUCGACUAGAGGCUGUUUACCUUGGAGACCUGCUGCGGAUAUGGGUACGGACCGGCACGCAAAUCACACUCUCUCCCUCUUAUUUGCAAGGGCCGACAGAUGCGCACAGGACACCACAAGAGCCGCGGUGCUUUUACGGAGACAGCGUCCUUAUCUACGGACGAGCCGAUUCCAGGGACAUGAAUCCUUACAAAGAAAAGACAACUCUUCCCCGGGUCCUCCGUCGACGUCUCCGAGUUCGGUUGCGUUACUACACUUGUCCCCGAGGGGACUAUUUCCGUGUCCGGGUUGAGGAAUAUUGACCCCAUUCCCUUUCGGUCGGC
rnacentral:rRNA from 1 species